CCCUUAGAUGUUCUGGGCCGCACGCGCGCUACACUGACUGGUGCAACAAGUGUCGCUCCUUGGCCGAUAGGCCUGGGCAAUCUUUGAACGCCAGUCGUGAUGGGGAUAGAUUCUUGCAAUUUUUGAUCUUCAACGAGGGAUUCCUAGUAAACGCGAGUCAUCAACUCGCAUUGAUUACGUCCCUGCCCUUUGUACACACCGCCCGUCGCACCUACCGAUUGAAUGGUCCGGUGAACCCUCCGGAUCGGCCCGCGCCAACGCAAGUUGAGCAAAGGCCGAGAAGUUGGGUAAACCUUACCAUUUAGAGGAAGGUGAAGUCGUAACA
rnacentral:rRNA from 1 species